ACUGACAUACCUUUCUUAGUUGGCUGGGCCCCCACAUGGAUUCCAUCCUAGAGGCCUAAGGUUGACCUAGGUCAAGUGUCACUUCAUCUGGCCUAGCUCAAUUCUUAUGCUCGGAGUAGUUCUUUAGCCCAAUCUCUUCUCUAAUUAAACUUGGAUCUUUCAUGAUCCAUUAAAUGAGAGAAUAACAAAUUGAAAUGUUAUUCCAAAUAACCA
rnacentral:lncRNA from 1 species